GACGAACGCUGGCGGCGUGCUUAACACAUGCAAGUCGAACGGAAAGGCCCUGCUUUUGUGGGGUGCUGGAGUGGCGAACGGGUGAGUAACACGUGAGUAACCUGCCCUUGACUUUGGGAUAACUUCAGGAAACUGGGGCUAAUACCGGAUAGGAGCUCCUGCUGCAUGGUGGGGGUUGGAAAGUUUCGGCGGUUGGGGAUGGACUCGCGGCUUAUCAGCUUGUUGGUGGGGUAGUGGCUUACCAAGGCUUUGACGGGUAGCCGGCCUGAGAGGGUGACCGGCCACAUUGGGACUGAGAUACGGCCCAGACUCCUACGGGAGGCAGCAGUGGGGAAUAUUGCACAAUGGGCGGAAGCCUGAUGCAGCAACGCCGCGUGCGGGAUGACGGCCUUCGGGUUGUAUACCGCUUUCGCCUGUGACGAAGCGUGAGUGACGGUAAUGGGUAAAGAAGCACCGGCUAACUACGUG
rnacentral:rRNA from 1 species